GACGAAGCCCUGGGUCGCAAACGGGAUUAGAUACCCCGGUAGUCCAGGGUGUAAACGCUGCAGACUUGGUGUUGGGGACCCUUUGGGGGUGUUCAGUGCCGGAGAGAAGUUGUUAAGUCUGCUACUUGGGGAGUACGUCCGCAAGGAUGAAACUUAAAGGAAUUGGCGGGGGAGCACCGCAACGGGAGGAACGUGCGGUUUAAUUGGAUUCAACACCGGAAAACUCACCAGCAGCGACUAUUACAUGAAAGUCAGGCCGAUGACCUUACUAGAUUUUUAGAGAGGUGGUGCAUGGCCGUCGUCAGUUCGUACCGUAAGGCGUUCUCUUAAGUGAGAUAACGAACGAGACCCUC
rnacentral:rRNA from 1 species